rnacentral:lncRNA from 1 species
GGCUUGGCUGGCCCAACCCUUAUUGGAUACUCCUCCCAUUUUUUUCAUUCCUGGAGCCUGUUGAAUUAAGAAAGCCCAGUCAAUAAUCUCUUCACUGCCAUACCCUCCCAAGAUGUGUAUCCAUAUAAAAUUAGAGCACCAGGGAAGGCAACCUAAUGAGGGCUUUAAAUACCUCCGAUUAGGCCAGAAGGGCAAAAUUUUGACAUCACAAAAUAAGCUGUCCUCUCCAAAGGAUGGUGUCUUCUCUUCAUUCUGCCAGUACAAGAUUGCUAAAGUUUGGUUCCCAAGGCACUCCUUAGCAGGCUAAAUCUGAGAUGGGAAUUACUCUGCUGAGAAAAGAAGAUUAAUGUUUCAUAACAAAAGG